rnacentral:rRNA from 1 species
UACGUAGGGACCGAGCGUUGUCCGGAUUCAUUGGGCGUAAAGGGCGCGUAGGCGGCCAGUGCAAGUCAGUUGUGAAAUCUCCGAGCUUAACUCGGAAAGGUCAACUGAUACUGCUCGGCUAGAGUGCGGAAGGGGCAACUGGAAUUCUUGGUGUAGCGGUGAAAUGCGUAGAUAUCAAGAGGAACACCUGCGGCGAAGGCGGGUUGCUGGGCCGACACUGACGCUGAGGCGCGAAAGCGUGGGGAGCAAACAGG